rnacentral:rRNA from 1 species
AUGAACGCUAGCGGCAGGCCUAACACAUGCAAGUCGAGGGGCAGCACAGGUAGCAAUACUGGGUGGCGACCGGCGGAUGGGUGCGUAACGCGUAUGCAACCUACCAUUGAUUGGGGCAUAGCCCGAAGAAAUUCGGAUUAAUACUCCAUAAUAUUCAUCAAAGGCAUCUUUUAUGAAUUAAAGCUUUUGCGAUCAAUGAUGGACAUGCGUGACAUUAGUUAGUUGGUGAGGUAACGGCUCACCAAAACGAUGAUGUCUAGGGGUUCUGAGAGGAUUAUCCCCCACACUGGUACUGAGACACGGACCAGACUCCUACGGGAGGCAGCAGUGAGGAAUAUUGGUCAAUGGACGCAAGUCUGAACCAGCCAUGCCGCGUGCAGGAUGACGGCCCUAUGGGUUGUAAACUGCUUUUCCACGGGAAGAACCCUCCGACGUGUCGGAGACUGACGGUACCGUAGGAAUAAGCAUCGGCUAACUCCGUG